rnacentral:lncRNA from 1 species
UGGGUAUGGAAGGAAGAGUGAGUACGAACAGCCAAGUUCCGAAUACGGAUCUGGGUAUGGGAGGAAGACUGAGUAUGAAGAACCGACCCCCCAAUAUGGAUCUGGGUACGGGAGAAAGACUGAAUAUGAAGAGCCCACUCCCCAAUAUGGAUCUGGGUACGGGAGAAAGUCUGAAUAUGAAGAACCCACUCCCCAGUAUAGAUCCGGGUAUGGAAGGAAGAGUGAGAAUGAAGAACCCACUCCCAAGUAUGGAUCUGGGUAUGGGAGAAAGAGUGAAUAUGAAGAACCCACUCCCCAAUAUGGAUCCGGGUACGGAAGGAAGAGCGAAUAUGAAGAACCCACUCCUCAAUAUGGAUCCGGGUAUGGAAGGAAGAGUGAAUAU